rnacentral:rRNA from 1 species
UACAGAGGGUGCGAGCGUUAAUCGGAAUUACUGGGCGUAAAGCGCGCGUAGGCGGCUUUGCAAGUCGGGUGUGAAAUCCCCAGGCUUAACCUGAGAACUGCAUUCGAGACUGCAUUGCUAGAGUAUGGGAGAGGGAAGUGGAAUUUCAGGUGUAGCGGUGAAAUGCGUAGAUAUCUGAAGGAACAUCAGUGGCGAAAAGCGACUUCCUGGACCAAUACUGACGCUCAUGUGCGAAAGCGUGGGGAGCAAACAGG